rnacentral:rRNA from 1 species
UACGUAGGGGGCAAGCGUUGUCCGGAAUCAUUGGGCGUAAAGCGCGUGUAGGCGGUUACGUAAGUCUGCUGUGAAAGUCGGAGGCUCAACCUUCGAAAGCCGGUGGAUACUGCGUGACUAGAGUACGGAAGAGGAGAGUGGAAUUCCUGGUGUAGCGGUGAAAUGCGCAGAUAUCAGGAGGAACACCGGUGGCGAAGGCGGGUCUCUGGGCCGAUACUGACGCUCAGGCGCGAUAGCUAGGGGAGCAAACGGG